CUUUUGUGGGGUCAGUGCCCACAGGGUUGAGCACCACGUGCCUGGCUGGGCAGUGCUCCUGCCAGGGUCCCCUUCUCCACUGUAGGAAACACGGCUGCUCCUGCAGCCGCGUCUGCUCUGCUGCAUCUCCAGCUCCUGCCAGGCAUGGUGUGCGCGGCCCCAAGACAGGGAGUUUCCAUAGAGACAGGGUUUCACCGUGUUAGCCAGGAUGGUCUCGAUCUCCUGACCUCGUGAUCCGCCCGCCUCGGCCUCCCAAAGUGCUGGGAUUACAGGCGUGAGCCACCACGCCCGGCCCCCAGAGCCUUAGUCUCAGAAUCACACCCACCCCACGCCCAGGGCGUCUGUCACAGCUUUCCAAUCCAUGAGCCCAUCAAUCGGACUGGACACAGAUAAACUGGGACAGGACGCCGGGUGGCAAAGGCCGGGAGAGCUGGGCCACUCCCUCCAAAAGGUACCUCAGACCGGGGCUGUGCAGGGCUGCAGGAGACACAGGGGGACCCCGUAUGGCCCGUUAGAGACAGGGUCUCCCGGAUGGCAGAUUCCUGUAGCCUCUCUUCCUCCUUCACGCUUUGUUUCUUAAGGGGGAAAUCGACCAUUGCUGCCUUUCCACAGACAGGUGGGUGAGUACCAACAGGGAAGUGAACUAACAGGGAAAGGCCCUGCCCCCCUCCCAUGCUAGAGUGGCCAUGCGAACGUAAUGAUGGAGCCCCAGUGCAGGGACGCCCCUCUCCUGCCUGGGCCCUAAUUGGCACGGCACCUGCAGGCCGAGCCCUGGGUCCCCAUCCCUGCCGAGAGCUCGGCUCUCAGAUCAG
rnacentral:lncRNA from 1 species